rnacentral:siRNA from 1 species
CCGACUUAUGGAAGGGACGCAU